CUACCCUUGACAUGCCAGGGAGCCCGAUGAGAGUCGGGUGUGCCCGAAAGGGAGCCUGGACACAGGUGCUGCAUGGCUGUCGUCAGCUCGUGUCGUGAGAUGUUGGGUUAAGUCCCGCAACGAGCGCAACCCUUGUCACUAGUUGCCACGCAAGGGCACUCUAGUGAGACUGCCGGUGACAAACCGGAGGAAGGUGGGGAUGACGUCAAGUCCUCAUGGCCCUUAUGGGUAGGGCUUCACACGUCAUACAAUGGCGCAUACAGAGGGUUGCCAACCCGCGAGGGGGAGCCAAUCCCAGAAAGUGCGUCGUAGUCCGGAUUGUUCUCUGCAACUCGAGAGCAUGAAGUCGGAAUCGCUAGUAAUCGCGGAUCAGCAUGUCGCGGUGAAU
rnacentral:rRNA from 1 species